UACAGAGGGGGCAAGCGUUGUUCGGAUUCAUUGGGCGUAAAGGGUGUGUAGGUGGCGCCGUAAGUCAGGUGUGAAAUUUCGGAGCUUAACUCCGAAACUGCAUUUGAUACUGCGGUGCUUGAGGACUGGAGAGGAGACUGGAAUUUACGGUGUAGCAGUGAAAUGCGUAGAGAUCGUAAGGAAGACCAGUGGCGAAGGCGGGUCUCUGGACAGUUCUUGACACUGAGGCACGAGGGCCAGGGGAGCAAACGGG
rnacentral:rRNA from 1 species